ensembl:snoRNA
ACGGUCUGGGGAACGGCUCCUGUGUGGCUUGACCUGCCCAACAGUGGGUGCAGCCUGGUACCAGACAGCCCCACCCUGACCUGGAGCAAAUGCUCGGACGUUCCCCUGGGCUUGAAACUUGCAGUAAGGUAGUGGUUUGAUGAUCAUGUAUGCUACUGCAAACAAGA